rnacentral:lncRNA from 1 species
AAAAAACGACGAUGCACGCGUGAAGCACUGUCACGCGUGCAUCAACAGUGCGAAGGUAAUUAAAUUACCUUCGCACUGUUCAAAGGCAAUUCAAACACAGGAGAAAUAACGAAGAGAAACGGGCGCACCUGCUUCUGGAGAUUGCAAAGAAGGCUGCAACGCUGGUGGAGUUCGACUUUCCGUUUCUGGCGAUGGUGAAG